GUGACAGCACCCCCUGCUGGUUGGACGAGAACGUGAUUAUUAUUGUGUAAAUGCUUUAUUUUGGUGGCUUUUCCUCCUUUGCUGCUAAUCCAAACUGUUCAGAAACAUUUCUCUCAUCCUCUAUUUGUUAAUCCGGCAAACAACUGCUGAAUGAUGAUGAGGCGGAGUUAUUCUGAGAAAAUCUCCUGGCAUUAAUCAUGAUACACUAUUAAUCACUAAAUGAUGAGAAAUGUGCGCAGGCAGCACACCUGCUAAUCUGCGUGCUCGAGGCCUCCAUGAUGCUGCACGCUCACAUGUUACAUCAAGCUUUUGUUUCUAACUGAGCCUGACAGUAAGCCUGUCUGCUGAAGGAUCUCCACUGCACGGUCAAGAGAAUGGCCAGCGUGGCGUGCGUCACUAAACAGGGCUCUGUGGAAAAAUGAAAGGAGGGGAGGAGAAAACACUGACCGGGGAGGUGGGCACUGUGAGGAACCUGUGACCUGGACAAAGAGGAAGAGGAAGAAGCUGUGCGGUCUCCGAGAGGGAGCUAUCAAGUUCAUUUGGUGUUGUUUGGAUUUUUUUUUUUUUUUUUUGUGAUCUUGAGUUUUUUCGGGGUAUAUGAGUUGUAUUCCAGCUUCGCACAGUAUGAACGCCAUUCUCAGUCAAGUGGAUUCACAGAUGGACGAGGGCUCAGGCCAGAGAAGAGGCAGCAAAGCCUAUCAGAUUUUUCCUGAAGUGGACAUGGAUGACAAUGCCGAUUAUCCGGAAGAUUUCCGUUACAGGCGGGAGCGCCUCCCCUCCAUUGUUGUGGAGCCGACCGAGUGCUGUGAGCAGGAGAGCGAGGGGCCGCCCUGGCCUCUCUAUCAACUGAGCAUGGACGAGGAGGGGGAGGACAGCGGAGCCGAACCCACAGAGGGGCCUGCAGAUGGAGAGCAUCAGGAGGACAUGCAGGAAGGCUCCAACAGUCGGAAGUCCUCCAUCGUCACAUCCCAGAGUCAACUGUCCCUGUCUCGACUGACCCCACCUGCAUCCCCUGCUGCUCCCGAAGCAGCCCCACCCGGCUUGAGGAGCUGA
rnacentral:lncRNA from 1 species